GCUGGGCGUUGUGGCGGGUGCCUGUGGUCCCAGCUACUUGGGAGGCGGAGGCAGGAGACUCGCUUGAGCCCAGGAGUUGGAGGUUGCUGUGAGCUGUAAUGCCACAGCACUCUACCCAGGGGGACAGCUUGAGGCUCUGUCUCAAAAAAACAAAACAAAACAAAAAACAAACCUAGUUACAUGAGAAUCCCAUCCUAACAUCACUUCUCUUUUUUUUUUGAGACAGAGCCUCAAACUGUCCCCCUGGGUAGAGUGCCAUGGCAUUACAGCUCACAGCAACCUCCAACUCCUGGGUUCAAGUGAGUCUCCUGCCUCAG
rfam:Otolemur garnettii contig020428, whole genome shotgun sequence.